rnacentral:rRNA from 1 species
CCUACGGGAGGCAGCAGUGGGGAAUAUUGCACAAUGGGCGGAAGCCUGAUGCAGCGACGCCGCGUGGGGGAUGACGGCCUUCGGGUUGUAAACUCCUUUCACCAUCGACGCGGUAGAUGGAGAAGAAGCACCGGCUAACUACGUGCCAGCAGCCGCGGUAAUACGUAGGGUGCGAGCGUUGUCCGGAAUUACUGGGCGUAAAGAGCUCGUAGGUGGUUUGUCGCGUCGUCUGUGAAAUUCCGGGGCUUAACUCCGGGCGUGCAGGCGAUACGGGCAAACUUGAGUACUGUAGGGGAGACUGGAAUUCCUGGUGUAGCGGUGAAAUGCGCAGAUAUCAGGAGGAACACCGGUGGCGAAGGCGGGUCUCUGGGCAGUACUGACGCUGAGGAGCGAAAGCAUGGGUAGCGAACAGGAUUAGAUACCCUUGUAGUC